AGAGUUUGAUCAUGGCUCAGAACGAACGCUGGCGGCGUGGAUAAGACAUGCAAGUCGAGCGCUGAUUUCGGGGUAGCAAUAUUCCGGAGUCGGAGCGGCGCAAGGGUGCGUAACACGUGGGUAAUCUGCCAUGAAGUUCGGGAUAACUUGCUGAAAGGCGAGCUAAUACCGGAUGUGAUAACUGAAAGGCAUCUUUUGGUUAUUAAAGUUGGGGACCGUAAGGCCUGACGCUUCUUGAUGAACCCGCGGCCUAUCAGCUAGUUGGUGAGGUAACGGCUCACCAAGGCUAAGACGGGUAGCUGGUCUGAGAGGACGACCAGCCACACUGGAACUGAGACACGGUCCAGACACCUACGGGUGGCAGCAGUCGAGAAUUUUUCACAAUGGGCGAAAGCCUGAUGGAGCGACGCCGCGUGGGGGAUGAAUGGCUUCGGCCCGUAAACCCCUGUCAUUCGCGAUCAAACCUUAUUAUUUAAAAGAUGAUGAGCUGAUAGUAGCGGAAGAGGAAGGGACGGCUAACUCUGUGCCAGCAGCCGCGGUAAUACAGAGGUCCCAAGCGUUGUUCGGAUUCACUGGGCGUAAAGGGUGCGUAGGUGGUGAGGUAAGUCGGAUGUGAAAUCUCGGAGCUUAACUCCGAAAUGGCAUUGGAAACUACCUUGCUCGAGGGUUGGAGGGGGGACUGGAAUACUUGGUGUAGCAGUGAAAUGCGUAGAUAUCAAGUGGAACACCAGUGGCGAAAGCGAGUCCCUGGACAACUCCUGACACUGAGGCACGAAAGCUAGGGGAGCAAACAGGAUUAGAUACCCUGGUAGUCCUAGCCGUAAACGGUGCACGUUUGCUGUAAAAGGAAUCGACCCCUUUUGUGGCGGAGCCAACGCGAUAAACGUGCCGCCUGGGAAGUACGGUCGCAAGAUA
rnacentral:rRNA from 1 species